GGGGGGGGGGGGGGUGAGAGGAUGUCUGCCGGAAGCGCGAGGGUAAGUGUGAGAAGAGGAGAGCUCAGUACGGGGAGCUGCCUUUGGUGAUGUGCAUCAGCUGCAAGAUGCGCCGCGUUCGUCGUUUCACAGCAACGACGGUGACGAACAGGGGCUGCGACUUCGUGAAGUGCAUGAAUCACAAUCCGCAUGAAGGAGGGUGCGAUUUCUGGUACUGGAUCGACGAAUAUGCAUGGUUUCUGGGAGAGACCGGUACUAUUCCGAAAGAAUCGCCGAUGCUAAUCCCUAAGGGGUGGGUGGAGUUGGAAUCUGGGAUCUGUGGAGACAGCACCUCAAGGCGUGCAGCUUCUGAAGAUCUAGAUGAAAUAGUUAGGCCCCUACUGGGAAUCGUAAAGGAGAUAUCUGAAAUGAUUAAAAUGAUAGUUUGCUUGUUGAUUGUAAUAAUUGCUGUAAUGUUGUACAAGAACUAGCUAAACAGUAAUUUCCCGAUGUUGGAUUAUUUGCUCCACGCGAA